ACGAACGCUGGCGGCGUGCUUAACACAUGCAAGUCGAACGGAAAGGCCCUGCUUUUGUGGGGUGCUCGAGUGGCGAACGGGUGAGUAACACGUGAGUAACCUGCCCUUGACUUUGGGAUAACUUCAGGAAACUGGGGCUAAUACCGGAUAGGAGCUCCUGCUGCAUGGUGGGGGUUGGAAAGUUUCGGCGGGUGGGGAUGGACUCGCGGCUUAUCAGCUUGUUGGUGGGGUAGUGGCUUACCAAGGCUUUGACGGGUAGCCGGCCUGAGGGGGUGACCGGCCACAUUGGGACUGAGAUACGGCCCAGACUCCUACGGGAGGCAGCAGUGGGGAAUAUUGCACAAUGGGCGGAAGCCUGAUGCAGCAACGCCGCGUGCGGGAUGACGGCCUUCGGGUUGUAAACCGCUUUCGCCUGUGACGAAGCGUGAGUGACGGUAAUGGGUAAAGAAGCACCGGCUAACUACGUG
rnacentral:rRNA from 1 species